CCUACGGGUGGCAGCAGUGAGGAAUAUUGGUCAAUGGGCGUAAGCCUGAACCAGCCAAGUCGCGUGAGGGAUGAAGGUGCUAUGGAUUGUAAACCUCUUUUGUAAGGGGAUAAAAUGAGGGCCGUGUCCUAGAUUGUGUGUACCUGAUGAAUAAGCAUCGGCUAACUCCGUGCCAGCAGCCGCGGUAAUACGGAGGAUCCGAGCGUUAUCCGGAUUUAUUGGGUUUAAAGGGUGCGUAGGCUGUCUUUUAAGUCAGCGGUGAAAGUUUGUGGCUCAACCAUAGAAUUGCCGUUGAAACUGGGGGGCUUGAGUAUGUUUGAGGCAGGCGGAAUGCGUGGUGUAGCGGUGAAAUGCUUAGAUAUCACGCAGAACUCCGAUUGCGAAGGCAGCUUACUAAGCUGUGACUGACAUUGAUGCUCGAAAGUGUGGGUAUCAAACAGGAUUAGAUACCCCAGUAGUC
rnacentral:rRNA from 1 species